rnacentral:lncRNA from 1 species
GGGCGGGCGGCGAUUGGCGGCGGCGCUGACAGCGGGCGGGGCCGUGCCGGCGGCGCCGCCCGCCCCCCUCUAUAAGCCUCCCGGCCGCGGUCUCGCUGGGUCUCUCUCUCCCGUUCCGCGCGUCGCUGUCGAUGCGCAGUGGAAAUCCGCACCGGGGAGCUGCCGAGGGGCGCCCGUGUCAUGUGAAAGUGCACAUGCUCUGCCAUCCCCGCAGCCCUCCGCGCUCUUCUUUUUCCUCUGUCCGUGCAUUUUCCCUUUUUAUUGUUGUUUUUUUCCUAGCGUAACUCCGUUCCCUCAUUUCCUUCCCUCCCAUAAACACACACACACUUCGCAAAUAGCGAGCCGCCGCCGCUCCGCGGCCCCGGCGACCCCUGCAGGGGUUCCGCUACUGGCGGGCGGGUGCGCGGCGGCCGUCCCCGAGCAGCUCUCCCGGCGGCGGGCAGUCCGCGGAGCCGCUCCGCGCCGAGCCGCGCCCCGCCGAGCCGCCUCGGAGGGAUGGUGUUCCCGGCAGAGCAGAGCUGCGGCCCCCGCCGCCUCCGCGGGUGCUGAGACGGGAUUUUCGUGGUGCGGCUCCCGGGCUCCCAGCUUCAUGACUGCGCGGAGCGGGGAGUCGCCAACACCAUGCGAGGCAAAUGCCCUGUGCAGCCAUGUUCUACCACUUACCUUGGAGGGCAGCCAGAGCCUUUGCUUCUGCAUCCCCAGAGCUUGCAACCUCACCUGUGGGAGGUCCUGCAGGAGACUGCGGAGCAUCCCCACUGGCAGGAGACCGCCAAGCUGCUGGGCAGCUGGUCCAGAGAGUGCCGCUGGGCCACAUGCUGCCUGCUGUGUCUGACGCGCUGGGACAUCUAUCUGCUGGGCACGGAGGACACGGGGGCACAUUGUUUCUGCAUGUCUCAGGGCCGGGCAGCACUCCGCAGGCACUCCACUGGCCCAUUCUCCUGGGUCAGGCAAGAACUAUCCUUGCCAGCCUCAGACACCCGCAGGGGUUGCACACCUCCUUUGCCACAUCCUCCAUGCUCCGUUAGUGCCCCAUACUUCCUCUCAUUUGCUUGA